CCCGGCGGCCCUGCCUGCGCUUCCGACAGACAUCCAGUAACACGAGUGGGUUUGGUCUGCGUUCAGCUCGCUCCACCUGAGGCUGAAGUAUGUCAGUUACCGUUAAGAGGCCUCCAGGAGACAGAGAAAAGGCUGUUGGACAGCAAGGAAGCAGGAGAGGACUUUUGCAUGCGGCCCUUGACCUGAAUGGUCUCUCCCAGCAUAACCUAAACAACAACUAGUCAUGUACAGGAGAAAAUAGGCUUGUAAUGAAGUAAAUGAAAACAGUGGGAUGGAGACAUUUACAGCUGCAGUGAGCAGAUUCUGGUGUACAUUCCUUUAAUUGGAGAAGCGGUGAACAUUGAAUUAAUAAUGGUGAUUGUCCUUCAUUUCUGGAUGCUGAAAACUGUGCGCAGCAAGAACAUCCAAUUUCUUAUUUUAUGAAACUUUGCUUUUGCUUGUAUUUGUCUCACUUGUCAAUGCUUUUCUGUCCUUACUAAGCAUGGGCUACAGACCUGCCAGAAUGACUGCCCCUCCCUAGCUUCUGCCUCUUUCUACAGUACAAGAAUCUGCAAAUAUACUAUUUCCUGUGGUGACAUUGUAUAGAUCUGAAAGUGGUUUAUUACAUCAAAAUAUCAUAUGAUUUAUGAGAAGUUGUUAAUGAGAAAAAAUAACCUGUAUUAUAUGUAACACGUUGUCUGCAUGCUUCUCAAACACAGCAUAUGUGUAAAUUACACAGGUACAAAUGUCUUUGUAAAAUUGGUGUUUUGUGCUUCUGUGAUCACAUACUAGAUUUUAAUUUUUAUUCUAUGUAGAAGAAAUGUAUGCUUACUUGUGCAUGUUCGAUUGCUAUUUGUCUUACAUGUUUGCGUGGCCUAAAUGGGCUCAACAUUUCAGCAUCUUGCAAUUUUUAAUAGUAAUGCAGAGAUCAUAAGAAUGAGAAAGGAUUUUCAUAAUCUGUAGUUUUUAUGUGGGAAAAUAGAUUCUUCUCCAGGUCAAAAUAACUUAGGUUGUUUUCAGCUAGGAAAUUGACCUCUCUGGAGGCACAGGCCAACAUGUUAGCUUAGUUGAGGGAAUUUUGGUUUCACAGAAAGAGAAGUAAUGGGGCAUUGUGUGUGUGAAUAUUUCUGAAGACCACACCAAGGCUACAUAUGGCAGAAGGGUCACAGACUUACUUUAGCUAAAGAUGUAGCUUGUUUUCUGUUAAGUUUGAUUUUGAUUUUGUGACUAUGUCAGGAGAGACACUGAAAAAAAUGAAAUUGAUAAAUGAAAUUUCCAAGAAAUCAGUGUUAGCAGAACAAGAAAAAAAAAACAUUUUGUAUCUCUUUGCUAUGUCCUAGGUUAAUGCAUCACUACUAAAAAUUUAGUAGACUCUUUUAUUUGUAUUGAAUUAUUUUGAAUACUUACUGGACUCCAUCAAACUAUUAUCAUUAAUUCCAGUGCUUUAUAUAACUCUAUAACUAUAAUACUAAUGUAUACCUCAAAAUGAAUUUCCUUCUCUUUUGCCAAACAUAGCAAAUUUUUAUGCCUGUAGUAAAUACAGUCCCACUUCUCAUAUUUUCUCAUAUUUUCUCAUUUUGAUAAAACCUGAACAUACCCAGAACAGCUCAACUGUAGAAAUGAAAAAAAAAAAACAGCCUAUGUAUUGAAGCAUAUGUAGUUUGUUCAGUGAAGAAACUGGGGCACAGAGAAGUAACAGGACUUCUAUGAGAUGACACAAUAAGAUGCACCUGACUGCGGAAAAAAGCUCUUGUCUCUCAAAUUUUAGUUUCAUGCCCUGUGAGAUUUUUUUAAGAUUAUUUCUCAACAGAAGAUCACCAUCCAGUCAAAUGCUAAAGCAGGAUUAGCAAGGAAGGAAAAUAAUAGUUAUAAUGAUAGGACUAGCUGUGCGAGCUAAAUUGAGGAUUAAUCCAAAUUCAUAAUAUGUCCUGUUUUCUGUGUCUAGUCACUUGAUGUUCAUAAUAAAACAGUUUUGAUUUGGUGCCACCCUACUUAUGUUACUUUCCAUGAAUAUUCAGCCAUACAUACUUACUGGCAACGAAUCUUUGCCAAUAAAUUUUAUAUUGCGUAGUGUUUAUGAAGAAGGAAGAGUCUUAGUUUUGCAAUCAUUACUAUCUCUUGAAGAAAACUAUCACAAGGCAAAGGCACCUUCAAGUUUGUAUGUUAGGUCGUAGCCGUCCAUGUAUUUAUGUGAUUUUUUUACCCUGUUGUGAAGUUUGAAUAUCCACAGUGAAGACUGAUGUAAAUAUGAUCUUGGUGAUUUCUGUAAAGAUCAACAAGAGCAGAUGUGCUCAACCUGUAGAAUUUUCAAGUCCUAAAAUUGCCUGACCAGGUAACUGACACCUCAGUUUGCUUUGAAGUGUGAAAGGCAGCUUCUUCCCUGUAGCCAGUUCUCAAAAGUAGUGAUCUGAUGUUUUCCAGUAACAUGUUUUGUGGGAAAUACAUUUCUUAGAGAGGGAGUUAAAAGCAUGAUUUAAAAGAAAUUCCAGGCAGUGAUUUAUGUUCUGUGGAACAAAAACUAGGGUAAACACUGGUGUGAAUAGGAAAUGGCUCUGAGACAUGACCUAGGGUGCAAGACAUGCUCAUGUGUACAGGUAGGAACACACCAUGGUAUGUGUGAACAAGCAUAGUCUUCCUGUGGAUAAUCUACUGGGUCAUAUGGUAGCCAAGAAUAAUUACAGUGCACUGAGAUCAACUAAGUUGUGUACUCGCUUACAAUUACUCUACAGAAAUACAUGCUUACUUAUUUGCUACGUACCACAGCCUUAUUUUACCUCUUGGAAGAUCUUGGUGUUGAACUCUGGCCUGGUGCUAAAUGCUGGAAGCCCUACUGCAGCAGCUGUGUGUGGUACUUCGGAACAAGUGAUAAGGUGGGACAGGAAGGUUUUAUUGUUGCCCAUGUCCCAGGGUGAAAUUAAAGCACAGAAAAUUCCUACUGUUUUUUACCAACUCUCUGGCGUGUCUUUUACUUAUGCAAAUCACUUCUAAAUUUGAUACAAUAUUUGUAUGCUCUGAGUGCUUAUCUU